rnacentral:rRNA from 1 species
UGGGGAAUAUUGCACAAUGGGGGAAACCCUGAUGCAGCGACGCCGCGUGAGCGAAGAAGGCUUUCGAGUCGUAAAGCUCUGUCCUAUGAGAAGAUAAUGACGGUAUCAUAGGAGGAAGCCCUGGCUAAAUACGUGCCAGCAGCCGCGGUAAUACGUAUGGGGCGAGCGUUGUCCGGAAUUAUUGGGCGUAAAGGGCUUGUAGGCGGUUGGCCGCGUCUGCCGUGAAAUCCUCUGGCUUAACUGGGGGCGUGCGGUGGGUACGGGUUGACUUGAGUGCGGUAGGGGAGACUGGAAUUCCUGGUGUAGCGGUGGAAUGCGCAGAUAUCAGGAGGAACACCGGUGGCGAAGGCGGGUCUCUGGGCCGUUACUGACGCUGAGGAGCGAAAGCGUGGGGAGCGAACAGG